UGGGGAAUAUUGCACAAUGGGCGCAAGCCUGAUGCAGCCAUGCCGCGUGUAUGAAGAAGGCCUUCGGGUUGUAAAGUACUUUCAGCGGGGAGGAAGGGAGUAAAGUUAAUACCUUUGCUCAUUGACGUUACCCGCAGAAGAAGCACCGGCUAACUCCGUGCCAGCAGCCGCGGUAAUACGGAGGGUGCAAGCGUUAAUCGGAAUUACUGGGCGUAAAGCGCACGCAGGCGGUUUGUUAAGUCAGAUGUGAAAUCCCCGGGCUCAACCUGGGAACUGCAUCUGAUACUGGCAAGCUUGAGUCUCGUAGAGGGGGGUAGAAUUCCAGGUGUAGCGGUGAAAUGCGUAGAGAUCUGGAGGAAUACCGGUGGCGAAGGCGGCCCCCUGAACGAAGACUGACGCUCAGGUGCGAAAGCGUGGGGAGCAAACAGG
rnacentral:rRNA from 2 species